rnacentral:tRNA from 1 species
AGGCCAAUGGCCGAGUGGUUCAAGGUGCUAGUUUUAGGUCAUUCCCGCAUUAUGGAGUGCAGAACCACUAGUCUUCAUAGGUGUGGGUUCAAAUCCUACUCAGCUCA